GCUAUUGUGGCUCAAUGGCAGAGCAGCAGUAUCGUAAACCGCAGGUUGCCCGUUCAACUCGGAUUAUCAGCU
rnacentral:tRNA from 1 species